AAGCGGGAAGCCUACCUCAAGAUAAGAUUUCCCUAGGACUUUAUGUCCUCUAAAGAGCCGUUCGAGACUAGGACGUUGAUAGGUUGGAUGUGGAAGCAUAGUGAUAUGUGAAGCUGACCAAUACUAAUUGCUCGUGAGGCUUGACUAU
rnacentral:rRNA from 1 species